UAGAUUGAAGCCAGUUGAUUAGGGUUUUUAGCUGUUAACUAACGUUUCGUGGGUUUAAAUCCCAUCUAUCUAG
rnacentral:tRNA from 2 species